GUAGGUGGCAAGCGUUGUCCGGAAUUAUUGGGCGUAAAGCGCGCGCAGGCGGUUCUUUAAGUCUGAUGUGAAAGCCCACGGGCUCAACCGUGGAGGGUCAUUGGAAACUGGAGAACUUGGGUACAGAAGAGGAAAGCGGAAUUCCACGUGUAGCGGUGAAAUGCGUAGAGAUGUGGAGGAACACCAGUGGCGAAGGCGGCUUUCUGGUCUGUAACUGACGCUGAGGCGCGAAAGCGUGGGGAGCAAACAGGAUUAGAUACCCUGGUGUCCACGCCGUAAACGAUGAGCGCUAAGUGUUAGGGGGUUUCCGCCCCUUAGUGCUGCAGCUAACGCAUUAAGCACUCCGCCUGGGGAGUACGGCCGCAAAGGCUG
rnacentral:rRNA from 1 species